AUUGAACGCUGGCGGCAUGCCUUACACAUGCAAGUCGAACGGUAACAGGUCUUCGGAUGCUGACGAGUGGCGAACGGGUGCGUAAUACAUCGGAACGUGCCCAGACGUGGGGGAUAACGAGGCGAAAGCUUUGCUAAUACCGCAUACGAUCUAAGGAUGAAAGCAGGGGACCGCAAGGCCUUGCGCGUUUGGAGCGGCCGAUGGCAGAUUAGGUAGUUGGUGGGAUAAAAGCUUACCAAGCCGACGAUCUGUAGCUGGUCUGAGAGGACGACCAGCCACACUGGGACUGAGACACGGCCCAGACUCCUAAGGGAGGCAGCAGUGGGGAAUUUUGGACAAUGGGGGAAAGCCUGAUCCAGCAAUGCCGCGUGCAGGAUGAAGGCCUUCGGGUUGUAAACUGCUUUUGUACGGAACGAAAAGGCUCUGGCUAAUACCUGGGGCACAUGACGGUACCGUAAGAAUAAGCACCGGCUAACUACGUG
rnacentral:rRNA from 1 species